AACGGGGGGAACAAGUCUUGAUUCGUCUUAAUUGGGCAUAAAGGGUCUGUAGGCGGUUUCACAAUCUUUAGCGAUUAAACGCUUUGACAUGCAUCAAUAAGCAUUCACUAGAACUAUGAAGCUUUUUGAGGACGGAGGAAGGUAAUGGUACUCUCAAUGAAGAGGGUGAAAUUCGUAGAAAUUGACGAGGACAAGCCGUAGGUGAAGACGAUUACUUAAGCCGUAUACCUGACGCUGAGGACGAAAGCAUGGGGAGCAAACAGUUU
rnacentral:rRNA from 1 species